AUGGAAAAUUUGAUUCUCAAAUACAAGACUCAAGAGACGCAUAAAAAGGAUCCUGAGCAAUGCUGUCUCUUUCAAUGCUCUUAUCUCCUGCAGUCUCCAGAGACUUGUCAUCUCACCCCUUUGUUCUGGAGCAACAAUCAGGAAAUCUGGAUUCUCACCUCCCUUCUACCACACUCAUUGGAAAGACAGCAAGAGCUAACCAAUGAUAGCCUGCAUGAGAGGUCAGUGAAUUGCCCAUCACUGGACAAUCUUUUUUGUAGUAUUUUUAAAAUCUGUUAUUUAUUUUAA
rnacentral:lncRNA from 1 species